rnacentral:tRNA from 2 species
GGGGAUGUAGUCCAAUGGUACGACACCUGCCUCCAGAGCAGGUAAUGGCUGUUCGAAUCAGUCCGUCCCCA